CUGGUGUCAGCCGCCGCUUUAAUACCAGCACCCCGAGUGGUCGGGACGAUUAUUGGGCCUAAAGCAUCCGUAGCCGGUUCUGCAAGUCCCCCGUUAAAUCCAGCUGCUCAACAGAUGGGCCGCGGAGGAUACUACAGAGCUAGGAGGCAGGAGAGGCAAGCGGUACUCAGUGGGUAGGGGUAAAAUCCGUUGAUCCAUUGAAGACCACCAGUGGCGAAGGCGGCUUGCCAGAAUGCGCUCGACGGUGAGGGAUGAAAGCUGGGGGAGCAAACCGGAUUAGAUACCCGGGUAGUCCCAGCCGUAAACGAUGCAGACUCGGUGAUGGGUUGGCUUCGCGCUAACCCAGUGCCGCAGGGAAGCCGUUAAGUCUGCCGCCUGGGUAGUACGGUCGCAAGACUGAAACUUAAAG
rnacentral:rRNA from 2 species